GCGUUCGUGGUGUAGUGGUCAGCACGCUCGACGCGUAUUCGAGAGAUCCGUGGUUCGAGUCCCGGAGAGGGCA
rnacentral:tRNA from 1 species